UAACGUAUAAUAACCAUACUUUUCGAAAUUCUUGCAGUGGCGCUGCCAGCACUCGUUCCCCUCCAUCCUUGCUUGCAGUUGAUAGAAAAAGAAAAACUCCACGUCCAACUCAAGAAUCGGUACAUCCAGAAGCCGUAAAACUAGGGUUUCAAGCGGGUUUUGUAGCAACGGAUCGAAUUUUAACUGAAAUUCUGAGGCAGCAGGAUGAGCUGGAGAUGGCUUAUGGUGUUGAAAUUCGUUUGGACACUCUCUAUCUUGCUUGUGACAUUACCAUAAGACAUUCCAACGUUUUAUCUGCAAAUGAAGAAGUGGGUUCUAACAAUUUUGAGGAUUUGCUCCAAAAAAAGGCAUUCGGGUUGGUGAAGAAUGCCUGUUUGAGAUUGAGGCGUGACCUCGACACUGAUGCAGAGGAGAAUGCUUUGGAUAUUGAUGAAUACUUGUUGUGUCGAGCGCUUGUUGAAUUGGAGGAAAUUAAGAAAGAGAAGGUUCAUGGAAAACGAUUUUGGAUUCCUUGUUUGAAAAAGGAAUAUCAAGAUUUGAUGGACAAGUGGGAUAGGUUUAUUAGGAAGUCAAAACCAAUAGUAAAGUGGAGGAAUAGGUGCAAUAGGAGAGGUGAAAAGCUACAAAUGUUAGAACAACUGCGCCAAGGGCUGGUUUCUUUUAUGCAGGAGGCUGAAGCGGACAAGAAGACAUAAAUGAAUCCCAUUUUUGGGAUGGCUGAGCUUUUUAGUUCUCUUUUAACUGUGUUGCUUCUAGCACACGAGAAUCACAAACAAAACCUUGCUGUUACACCACGUUUAAUUGCAAAGGUGUAAAAUAACUUGCAGUUUUUUGGUGGUUUGCCUGGUGUUAUGAAAUGCUCUUUGGGCAUUUUUUCAUUCUUAAUGACAUUUCUUUUUGGGGGAUGGUUGCUGGUGCAGGAAGCAAGCCCCUUGACUGGGUUUCCAGCUUCCUGGCUCCUUUGCGGCUCAAAACCUUUGUUGGAGGACCUGGAAUCAAGAUUGGCUGAGAGGUUAAUUUGACAAGUGCAUGUUAGAUUUGAUUAGCCGGGCCUUGUUGAGACAGAAGUCUGGACCUGGACCUGGACCUGGACCUUUAGGCUCACUUCUCUUCCUAUAUGGCUCUGGUAGAGGAAGGACGGAGCAUGCAAAAGCUCUUGCGAAACAACUUUUCGAUGAUGACAAAUUGCUAACUGAAGUUGACAUGUCAGAUUAUAGGGAUUCAGAUUCUCUCUCAUGCCUGUUUGGUGCCUUCCCUAGGUUUUCAUCUGCCAGUUCGUUUUGUUUUUAGCUUGUUACUCAAUUUUUUUGGUCCCUGAUAAUAAUGGUUUUGUAACGUUUACCUGAGCAUAUUUUUUUCUUCUGGUCCAAUAGUGGCGAAGAAUGUGGUGCUGGAGAAUUACUUACAGAGGUUGUGAAGAAGAGGCCUUUUGGUGUUAUCUUGUUGGACAACGUUGAUAUGUCCCAUCCUGCUGUCACAAGAACUUCUGAUCAAAAUUUUAAGUCAUGGAAGAGUAUUAGAUGGCUUAGGAAAUAUUGUGUAUUUCACGAAUACAUUGAUUGUCAUGACAUCAAAUGUUGUAGAUUACAUGUUCGAUCAGUGGGGCUGCAGAUGUUGGUCUCAAAACGCCCCCAUGAAAGACAAGUUCUGUCAUGAUUCACCAUAUCCUGAACAUCGAUGUGCCUAUCUCUCUCUUUUGACGGAGGCAAAAAAAUAUGUCAAACCUGAGUUGUUUGAGAAACUGGAUGAAGUGAUGGUUUUUGAAGCCCUCUCCUACGAACAAAAUAGGGCUGUUGGUAGGCUCCAGCCGAGGGACAUUGCCAGCUCCAUCGCAGGAAGAAGACUGAUCUUAUACCCAUCUGAGACUGCAUUGUGUGAGAUUGUUGUGAGGGAGUCAGUUUGGCCAUAUGUAUGUUUAUAUUCUCAAUUUAAUGACUAUUAAAUCUUUACAUGCUGACUUGUGUACUGAACAUUCAUUUCACAAUCCAGAAUAAGGUUUGGGAUCCGUGGGCCGCAGUGAUCUUGAAUUUUGAGGUAUUUAAGUGUAGUAAUGGGUCAUGUGUGUAGGUUAUUCGCUUAAUUAUAGACAUAUAGUCUUCUUGGUAGGGUCGAAAUGGCUGGAAGGAAGGGAUGGUUAUGUGAUGAAUUGGAUUUCCUUAGCCGUUUAGGGAAGAGAGUGGAAAGGAGAGGAAAAGAGAGAAGACUUCGAUCUGAGCCUUUCGGAUUUCUUUCCUUGGGGGAAUUUGAGGAAAGGAACUGGGUUUAAAUGAAUUCUUUCAAUAAGUACUUGACCUCUUGACUCCUGCCUUCCCUUCCAUUCUGUUAUCUUUUCAAAGAACAACGUUUUGUCAGCGGUUAGGCAUUUGAUUGACUGUUAUGGCCUUCCUCUGAUUUGUGUAGGCUUGAUUGUUCUGGCCAAGCACCGUCAGGUUGAUCCAAAUUUAGAGGAUGUAAGUUCAGUUAGAACCACAGAGAUCAGGCUCAACUUAGCGUUUAGUUUAUCGAUCUGUUGUUACUUGUUAGGUCAAAGUAACAUCAACGAUAUGUUUUACUUAUACCGUGGCUAUUUUCCUGAAGGCCUAGAGGGUUUAGCAUGAAUAUUUUCAUGGGGAAGAGCUGUAAUAGAAACAUUCAAGGUGCAACUUUUUAACUUCACUUUGAGAACCUCUAUCAACCGCCAUGAUAUAUUAUCAUCUGCUCAGUACCAGAACUUUCAUAAAAGAUUCUGAAUUGUGGAACAUUACACUUUUUACAAAUUUUUUGAAAUGCUCACUUAGUGGAAUCUGUGCAGGGCCCAAAUCUUUCUGGGAGUUUUGGCCUGGCCAAAUAUAAACGCAACUUUAUCUAAUUGUACAGCAAUUUUGGUACAAAUCUUUGAAAUGUAGGGGCUUUUGUUGCCAGUGAUGGUUGCAUUCUCUUUGAGCUAGGAUCUGCUCAAAAAUGGCAUAAUGUCAACCUCAUUUAGUUUGUGUAAAAGGUGCUCUCACCAUAGUUAUAUCGUCCUAUCACGUGAGGUUUAGAUUUCUUCUAACCUUUGAGUUCUUCUAAGGAUUAUCUUUUUUCAUUUUGCUGAAAAUAUAAAAUCCAAUUCUUUUUUGUUGGCAGCAGAUCUCAGGGUUCAAGGCAUACUUUUAGAUGUUCCAUCUCGUUUAGUAACUAUACAACUUACACGUCUUUCCAUCUUUGUUGGUAGGUAUAUAUCCGCUCUAAACUAUAUUUUGCUUUGGGCUUGUACUGUAACAUAAAUAGUAAGCAAACCCUUUUUCAAGAAGCUUGAUGUGAUGGCCUGAAAUGACCUGUUUUAUGUUCGUGUCAAGGGUGGAAAAGCUAUGAAGGUUUGGCUCGAAGAGAAUGUGGUCCCUGUGCUGUUUGAUAUUCUUGCAAACAAUGAAAUAGAUGAUAUUAGUUGUCUACAUAGAUGCCCUGAUGGGAACAAAGCAGUUGUCCUAUAGAUCCUAGAAGUGUGGCACUUACCUGGAAGAUUUGUUCUUGAUGCAUUUUAAGGAAUCUUUAAAGGAAUUCAGAAUUAUGUACCACAAUGAGAAGGAACGAGUCAAUAAAAUCUACUUAUUGCGUCACGACUUCUUUACUUUGAUGAAUCUGCUAAAUGCGAAGGCUGUGGUAGAUUUCACCUGUGUUGUUGACACUGUGCAGAAGUUGCUUAAUGCAGUUGAUGAUCUCAUAAGCAAUGCAGUCGAUGCCCUUUUUGUACUCAAUGAGUGUAUACUGGAAACUUCAAACUGUUCCAAUGAGGAGACAAAGCCUCUAGAGAAAGAGAGGUCAAGCAAGAGGCCUAUGAAUCAGGUUCAGGGCCUUUGCAUGUUAUUGGCCAAUAGAAUGGUCGGACAAAAUCAGGCAAUUGAUGUUGUAGGCUUGUAGCAGAGGCAUUGCUGAAAUCUAUUCUUCCUGAUGAUCUGUCACAUCGACCUACUAUGUCACUCCUAUUUUUGGGUCUCACUAGUGUUGGUCAGGCUGAUCUUGUAAGAAGUCUUGCUGAGAAUUUUGUCUGUGACGAUGGGACGGACCUACUUAUUGAUGUUGACUUGUCUAAGUACAUAGACUCGGACUCACUUUUUUGACUCCUAUACGGGCCUUUGGAGCUAUUGAUUAGCCAUGGCCAACAUGGUUUUCCACUGUUAGAGCUUGUCCAGUGAGGCCACACAACAUUCUUGUAUUUUCACAAGUGGAGCAGGCACACAUUUCUGUUUUCAGUGCGUUACUUUCAGUUCUUGAUCAAGGUACGAUGUGUGACUUGGAAGGACGUACUGUAGAUUUCAGACGCACUGUUGUUAUCUUUGCCUCGGAUAUGGGGAAUAGCAAGAUUCUUGCACAACUUGUCGGACAUGAUCCAUACGAUUCUUCUAUUGAAGUUAUGCAACAGAAGAAAAAAGGCUUUUGGUCUGAGUUGCUGAACCAGAUAGAUGAGAUUGUAUGUUUCAAUCCUUUUGCUCGUGAGCAACUGAGGAAAGUUGCUAGGUUAUCAAUGAGGGCUGGUCGUCACCUGACAGAUGGUCCGCCUCUUGCAUUAUCCACAUCAAUUUUGCAUUUGUUCAAUACAGCUAGUGAUCCAGUUUUCAAAAGAGUUCCCUGUGCCUUGGAAUAUACAGUCUCAUUUCUCGCCAAGGGCCUCAUCAACUGUGGAAGCAACGCUCACUGAAGUAGUGGGCAUUCGCGUCUCUGUCAAUCAUUGGGUAACUAAUUGAAAAUGAAAGUAAUGUGACAUGAAUAUGACAUGUUUUUUAAAGUUCGAAUUGGAGGUCCUUUUCUUUU